CACAAAAUCCAGUCAUAAGACCUAACCAUCUCUAAUCACCAUCAGAACAAUAAGCCCAGGAAUAUUCAACCUUAAAAAUACUCAUCUUCCAACCAGAUUUAUCAAAAUAUACACAUCUUCGUCUCCCAUUCACCUUCAGAGCAAAUAGAUUGAACAACUAGUCUACUAGAUACUCUCAGCAACAAGAAUUGCAGCGCAAAGACAUAGUGACAAAAUAAAGGGCUCGAAGAUUACCAAGUCUCAGAGAACAGAUUCGCUGCAUCACACUGAUACAGUCCUCCCCUGACGUCAUACUCGAGGAUCUGAAGGAGAAAACCCGCAAACAAAGAACAGAGCCAUACGAGGCGAGCCGCGCAGGUGACGACGCGGAGAACGAACAUCGAAGCCCAGAGGUCUUAGAGAAGGCUGGGUAUCGACAAUCUCACGCCGGAAGAGAAGAUUAUAGCGCCAAAGACGAAGAUUUUGAGUUUGGGAUCGUUGAUGAACGGGUUUGGGAAAAACGCAAAGCUAGGGUAAUUGAAGUUGGGGAAACUGAAAACUGAAAAACUGGAAUCAAAACGCGGAAGCUAAGCUAAUCACAGAAGCCACAAGGCCACAAAAUCGCGACCAUGGGCUCUGAUACCAUGAUAACAUUCAUGGAUUUAUUGAAAGGAAAGGAAGAAAGAAGAAGACUGAGAAGAAAGAAAACGCAGAGAACCGAAUGGACUACAUUUUGAAUAUUCUCAAUUGAUGAACAGUGUACACAACUCAUAGCUUUAUAUAGGUAGGGAUAAUAGUAAAUGACUCAACUAUCCUUAUAUACUUAACAUUUUCAAGAAAUCCAUGAAUGUUAUCAAGAAAUGGGGAAGUGAUACGGAUCCGUAUGAACAGAUUCCUCCUAGGCUCUGUAUUGGCCACGAUCCUCUGCAGGGGUAAAGAGGUAACCUGUGCUACCAAAAGUAAAUUAGGGUUUGCAGGGCGUGCCACCGCGCGGACGCGGAACGAGAACGGUGCGCGUUCUUGACUUCUAAUCAGGCGAAGUAGAGCUCCGGUGUCACCUCGCGGGCGAGGAAUUACGAGCAAACUAUCUAGUCACCUGUGAAUCGAUACUCACUGUUCGAAGCGAGCAGAGCAACAAUUAGGAAGGAGAGGCGAGUCCAGACGGGCUCUGAGAUCUAAGGCGAGGUGCACUUAGAACUUAGGGUUUCGAGGAUGCUCGAAGAUUUGCAGUUGUUUUGUAUGAUUGAUUGUGUGUCUUUGAUUUGUGUCAAGUUCCCUUAUAUAGCAAUUCGCAUAGACCUAAUCACAAUCCAUUCGGACUCAGCAAUUAGAAUCCCACAAGGAUAUGACCAGCUCGCGAGCCGCGCGAUCCAUGCAACACGUGUCCAGAACAAACCUCGCCUAGGUCUUGCUUACCGCCC
rnacentral:lncRNA from 1 species